AAAUAGAUACCCCGGUAGUCCACGCCGUAAACGAUGAGUGCUAAGUGUUAGAGGGUUUCCGCCCUUUAGCGCUGCAGCUAACGCAUUAAGCACUCCGCCUGGGGAGUACGGCCGCAAGGCUGAAACUCAAAGGAAUUGACGGGGGCCCGCACAAGCGGUGGAGCAUGUGGUUUAAUUCGAAGCAACGCGAAGAACCUUACCAGGUCUUGACAUCCUCUGACAACCCUAGAGAUAGGGCUUUCCCCUUCGGGGGACAGAGUGACAGGUGGUGCAUGGUUGUCGUCAGCUCGUGUCGUGAGAUGUUGGGUUAAGUCCCGCAACGAGCGCAACCCUUGAUCUUAGUUGCCAGCAUUCAGUUGGGCACUCUAAGGUGACUGCCGGUGACAAACCGGAGGAAGGUGGGGAUGACGUCAAAUCAUCAUGCCCCUUAUGACCUGGGCUACACACGUGCUACAAUGGAUGGUACAAAGGGCUGCAAACCUGCGAAGGUAAGCGAAUCCCAUAAAGCCAUUCUCAGUUCGGAUUGCAGG
rnacentral:rRNA from 1 species